AUCGGAUUUGUCACCAACUAAAGACAUCACGUCAACAAACUGAGAAGGUUCCAGAACUCCAUACUUUUCAGCAAAAUCCUCCAACCCAAAAGAAACCAUCUCAAACCCACGUGGAGCUAUCCGUAAAAGACGUAAUGAAGGCGAUAGAAUCUGGAAGAAGUCUUUGUCAGGGGAGACUACACGAACCUUACACCCAGAAGCAACACUUCUCAAAGCCAAUGUGCCAAUUACAUCAUCAGCUUCCACUCCAGGUACCUCAAUCACCUUUACAGACAUGGACUUUAUGGAUGCCUUCAAGUACUGGAGCCCCUGGACUAUGGUAUCAGGUGUAGGUGGCCUGUUACUCUUGUAUGCAGGGUAACGUGUAUGACGAAAAGUGGAUCCUUUUGCCAUGAAAUUUUCAUUGGAUGAAAUACAAGUAUGACCAUAUGG
rnacentral:misc_RNA from 1 species